rnacentral:misc_RNA from 1 species
CCGCGUCCAGGUGGGGCGGGCCCGGCGGGAUCGGCCUGUGUUUACCUGGCUCGCAGGAAGCCCGGGGAGGCGGGGCCGGGGAGC